UACGAAGGGGGCGCGCGUUGUUCGGAUUUACUGGGCGUAAAGGGCGCGUAGGCGGACAGUUAAGUCGGGGGUGAAAGCCCGGGGCUCAACCUCGGAAUUGCCUUCGAUACUGGCUGUCUUGAGUAUGGGAGAGGUGUGUGGAACUCCGAGUGUAGAGGUGAAAUUCGUAGAUAUUCGGAAGAACACCAGUGGCGAAGGCGACACACUGGCCCAUUACUGACGCUGAUGCGCGAAAGCGUGGGGAGCAAACAGG
rnacentral:rRNA from 1 species